UCGGGCCGGAGCCGCUGCGCGGGAGCGUCGCGGCUUUAACACCCUUAAACGCACUUGUUUAAGUUUAAAUGAAAGGCAGCACGAGGCUGGCGCGUAGCACGGCAAACCCCGCCCGGGAGAGGUAACGAGUAGCAAACUCGUAAGCCUAAAGCUGCGUUUUACACAGGAAGUGCUCGGUGUGGGCUGGGCGGUUCCUGCUGGAGGCCUUCGGGGUUUACAGCAUCACGGGGACCUCAGGAGACAUCUAAUCCAGCCCCCACCACGGCAGAGUCUCCUGGAGGUGACUGGAGCAGGAUCUCCCAAAUCACGGCUCCUGACCUGUCCUCAAUAAGGGAAUCUCAGAGCUACAGCUGACAAUGAUCCCAGGAAAACGUGAGGAUUCGUUAAGCACCGACAGCUUCCUCUGCUUUUGGAACAGCAUUUAUCCAGGACCAAGGGUGACUGUGAGAACAUGCUGAGGAACAAGGUCUGAGAGAAAACCUUCAUGCUUCACUGAAUAGUCAUUUUUUGUAAUAAAGAAAGAAACAUCUUGACUUUUUCUUUUUCUUUUUUUGGUCAGAUUGCCCAUUUUCUUUCAUGGCACUUGAAAGAUACGUAAACUUUUAUUAGGAGUUCUCAUAAAUUGAAUUUAUUGCUGCAAGAGUCUUCCAGCAAUGGUAAAGUUUAGCUUGCUGGGUUUUAUUAGUCAGAGUCAGUAAAACAGCAGCAUCACUUGGUCUGAGGCUGAAAACCAAGUGUUUCUUGGAAACUAAUAUAGGAAAAAGGUACCUACAACACUACCCAAUGUCUUGGAAUUCUAUGUUCAAGCCACAGAUAAUUCUCACUAUGGAGAUCUUUGUACACAGUGUCAAAAUAGCACACAAACAAUAAAAAGUCCCUCAUCCUGAAUCCAAAGCAGCUUUGCUGAGUGUAUUCUUGGAAUUUAAAAGUUUUUAGAGUUUCCCCAUUUCCUGCACGAACUGAUGAGUAACUCCAAAUACCAGGUUUAAUGAAAAACAACAUAUUUAGUGUGAGGUUUGAGGCAUUCCCCUCCCCGCACUAAGAAUGUUGAACCAGACUUUUUUCCACUCCACCAGCACCCAAGCAGAUCUGCUCCUCUGGUUAAUGGAAAGGCUAAACCAAGGUGUCCACACACUGCAGGACUGCUGGGAGCCCUCGUGCUCCAGCACAUCCCACUUAGCUGCAUAUCCUGGGACACUGGUCAUUGCUCCUCCUGCAGCUGCUCCUUUAACUUUGUACUUUCAGCUCAGAAAACUCGAGAGUCUUCAGCCUGAGCAAAGAGAGUGUUGAGGGCAUUCUUGUCAAGCUUGGUCAUUAACUAGCAAUAAUGUCUGUGGCUUUUCAUUUAAAAAGAAUCAAGGAGAAGCUGAUUAAAUAUAGCAGAAAGAAACAAAACUUUCCAUUCCCUUACUUUUUCCUUGACACGUUGCACUUCAUUUGAAGCCUGCUAAUAUACCAGCCAAAAGAAUUGUAAGGGCCUGCCUGGAUUCUUUCUUAAUACAAUGGUCACGGUUCAGUAGCUAGAAUCUGUAUGGAAUUAGCCAGAGACAUGGACGAAUGGAAAAACAUACUAAAAGGCUAAAAACCAGCACUUGUUCAUGGGAUUAUUCAUUAGAAAAACUCAUCAAUACAGCACAAGUUUUCUCUUUCCACUAUUCUAAAAAAUGAUCACAAAAUAGUACACAGAAAAUAAAGACACAAAAUGUCAGAGCACUGCUUUUGCCUGGAAUUUCAGAGUUGGCAAAAGCUUGGGUCAGUGUUUCCAUGCAAGUGCUUUCCUGCCGAGCUUUUUGGGGCAAACUUGAUGUUCACAGUAAAAGCAGCCUGGAGCAGAAUUAGCACAAGGAGCUGUGACACAUCUUGUCCCAUUUCUCCAAGUUCUGCUUCAACAGCCAUACCUGACAGCUGGAAGCAGCAGCACCACACACUGAAUCCAGCCAGAGUGGCGUGGAAAUCCCCCAGCAGCAGCACAGGGCCCAUGGACGUGGAUGGGAUCCCCACGGGAAGCCUGAGGGAUGUUGCACUGCAGCACAAGCUGUCCCUCCUGAUGCAGGGGAGGAUUGCUCACCCCACAGCAUCCGACUGCCAUCCACAGAAAAUCAAUAAGGACAGCACAGGAGACUUAAUGGAGUUGCUGGCACCUUUCCCAUUUCAGGGCAAAGCCCUGCUGAGGAGGGGUUUCUUUCUCCUCAGACUUUUUUUUGUUGGUGUUGUUGCUCAGAUAGCUAAAAGGUUUUCAAAGAGAGAAAGAAGCAUCAGUGUCUGUUGGUGAAUGUGGCUUAUGUUUGGAGGAAAAACCCAACACACUGGAUGGAGAUUGAGAUCUGGAGCUUCCCACCCAGGUCUGAGCUCUCUGUAACAUGAAAGAAUUGUUCUGGAAGUACAGGAAACAGGGAGUGGGGGCCCACACUGAGGCUGUGUCAACCAUUACAAGCAGAUAACUCCUACACUGCUGCCUUCCUGUGCAGAUCUUGGCAGAAAAAUAAAUAAAAAAUAUAUGUGUGGGAGGUGAUUCAUGUUAUUUAAAUCUAUGGGAGAAGCUGCAUGUGUAUUCUUUGGAAAAGAGGAGAGCAAGAGUGUAUUAGUAUCCAGUGGGGAAAUGACACAAGGGAUGCUUUAGGAGUCUUUGAAAAAAUAGGAUAAGAGGUGAUAUUCUCAUGCUGGGGAAGAUUCAAGGUUUAAAGAAAACUUGCUGGGAACUUUUGAAACCAAAACUCAUCCUGCUCUAUGGACAAGCCAGAGGUAACAGCUGAAAGGAAGCUGUUCUGUUGAAAAGGGUUUGAAUUCCAGCUGGUGCAGUUCCAGAGGAGCUCCUCACCUCCAAUGCAGCUACGGAACCACAGAAC